CGUAGGGUGCAAGCGUUAUCCGGAUUUAUUGGGCGUAAAGGGCGCGCAGGCGGCCACCAGCAGUGGCCCGUGGAAUCUCUCCGCUUAACGGAGAGAGGCCGGGCCAAACGGGGUGGCUUGGGGCAGGCAGAGGCAUGCAGAACGGGCGGAUAGGGGUGAAAUCCGUAGAGACCGUCCGGAAUACCAGUGGCGAAGGCGGCAUGCUGGGCCUGAAGCCGUAAGGCUGAACCCGACGCUCGGGCGCGAAAGCGUGGGGAGCGAACGGAAUUAGAUACUCCGGUAGUCCACGCCCUAAACGAUGGCAACUCGGUGUCGGGGGUAUCGACCCCCCCGGCGCCCCAGCAAACGCGGUAAGUUGCCCGCCUGGGGACUACGGCCGCAAGGCUA
rnacentral:rRNA from 1 species